rnacentral:rRNA from 1 species
UUGAAAAGAACUUUGAAGAGAGAGUUCAAGAGUACGUGAAACCGUUCAGGGGUAAACCUAAGAAACCCAAAAGAUCGAACGGGGAGAUUCAUCGUCAGCGGCGCUGGCUUCGCGUCGGUCGGCGAUGUCCCGCGGAGUCCUCGCGGCUCGCGCGCGGGCACGCUACCGUGCGCCGAUGUCCGGUGCUCGUCGUCGUGCACUUCUCCCCAAGUAGAACGUCGCGACCCGCUGGGUGUCGGUCUACGGCCCGGGUGCGGUGCCUGUCGCGUCGCCGGUAAAACGGCACGCGACAAACCCCCGGUCGCCCGGCCGGCUGCUCGGCGGUACGCGCAAGGUAUCAGGCCGCACUCUUUACGGUGCGUCGAGACCGUCGCAAGCGCGCGCCACGGUACUCGGAGGUUACGGACUUUGCGCCGUCCCCGGUCCUGGCCCGCUGUUGGUUCAAGUACGGUACACCUUCGACAGGCCUGCGAACGUCUCCCGCGGUUUCGCGGGGGACCGAUACCGGUCGGCGACGCUACUGCUUUGGGUACUCUUAGGACCCGUCUUGAAACACGGACCAAGGAGUCUAACAUGUACGCGAGUCAUUGGGACUUGUCGCGAGACCUAAAGGCGUAAUGAAAGUGAAGGUCGGCCCUGGCCGUCGACCGAGGGAGGAUGGGCCGCGUCGCGAUGCGGCCUCGCACUCCCGGGGCGUCUCGUUCUCAUCGCGAGAAGAGGCGCACCCAGAGCGUACACGUUGGGACCCGAAAGAUGGUGAACUAUGCCUGGUCAGGACGAAGUCAGGGGAAACCCUGAUGGAGGUCCGUAGCGAUUCUGACGUGCAAAUCGAUCGUCGGAACUGGGUAUAGGGGCGAAAGACUAAUCGAACCAUCUAGUAGCUGGUUCCCUCCGAAGUUUCCCUCAGGAUAGCUGGCACUCGGCCGUUCCGCACGGAACGCGCGCGAGUCUCAUCUGGUAAAGCGAAUGAUUAGAGGCCUUGGGGCCGAAACGACCUCAACCUAUUCUCAAACUUUAAAUGGGUGAGAUCUCUGGCUUUCUUGAAUUAUGAAGCCACGAGCAUCUCGGAUCAGAGUGCCAAGUGGGCCAUUUUUGGUAAGCAGAACUGGCGCUGUGGGAUGAACCAAACGCAGAGUUAAGGCGCCCAACUCGACGCUCAUGGGACACCAUGAAAGGCGUUGGUUGCUUAAGACAGCAGGACGGUGGCCAUGGAAGUCGGAAUCCGCUAAGGAGUGUGUAACAACUCACCUGCCGAAGCAACUAGCCCUGAAAAUGGAUGGCGCUGAAGCGUCGAGCCUAUACUCUGCCGUCAGCGGCAAGUGGGGCGGCAACGGGGGGCGGGCGUUUGUCCGUCUCUCGCGCGUCGUCACGAAGCCCUGACGAGUAGGAGGGUCGCGACGGUGAGCGCAGAAGGGUCU